AGUUCAGAUUGCAGGCUGCAACCCGCCUGCAUGAAGUCGGAAUUGCUAGUAAUCGCGGAUCAGCAUGCCGCGGUGAAUACGUUCCCGGGCCUUGUACACACCGCCCGUCACACCAUGGGAGCCGGUAACACCCGAAGCCUGUAGUCUAACCGCAAGGGGGACGCAGUCGAAGGUGGGAUUGAUGACUGGGGUGAAGUCGUAACAAGGUACC
rnacentral:rRNA from 1 species